rnacentral:lncRNA from 1 species
AUCGAGGCCGAGGGAGCUGGGGCCCAGCGUGGUCAGGCGCUGGUGCAGGCUGCUCUUGCGCUUGGGGCAGAAGUGGGCGUGGAGCACACUAAUUUAACAGGACAUGCAGAGAAGGUGGGGAUUGAGAAUUUUGAGCUCCUGAAGGUCUUAGGAACUGGAGCUUACGGAAAGGUGUUUCUCGUGCGUAAAGUCAGUGGCCACGACGCUGGGAAGCUGUACGCCAUGAAGGUUCUGAGGAAGGCCUCCAUAGUGCAGAAGGCCAAGAGCGCGGAGCACACGCGGACGGAGCGGCAGGUGCUGGAGCACGUCCGGCAGUCGCCCUUCCUGGUGACGCUGCACUACGCCUUCCAGACGGAGGCCAAGCUCCACCUCAUCCUGGAUUAUAUAAAUGGUGGAGAGCUUUUUACUCAUCUUUCUCAGAGAGAGCGCUUCACAGAGCGCGAGGUGCAGAUCUAUGCUGGAGAGAUCGUGCUUGCCCUCGGACACCUCCACAAGUUGGGGAUUAUAUACCGUGACAUUAAGCUUGAGAAUAUUCUGCUUGAUUCUGAUGGCCACGUGAUGCUGACGGAUUUUGGUCUGAGUAAGGAGUUUGUGGCUGACGAAGUGAGACUCUGCAUUUUCAGUAUUGAUUAA